AGGAGGAUGACAAAAUAAUUGACCUUGUAAACAAGUAUGGACUAACAAAAUAGUCUCAUUGCAAGGUCAGCUACCAGAACUUCCUGCUGCUGAUCCUGGGAUGUUUCUGAACAUGUUCAAUUUAUCCGCUCUAGGACAGCCACUGCCAUGACACAGUAGGUUACUCGUUAUUCUCGGCGUGUUUACUUUGGUGGACUUCCUCCGAUUGCUAAUGAACAGGCGGCUGCUCUAUUCUUCAAUCAAGUUGUGGCUGCUAUCGGGGGAAACACAUUUGGUCUAGGUGGCAUAAUCAUCUGAAUCCAAACAUAUGGAAGGAUGCUUGGACUACUGAGGAGGAACAUGCACUGAUUAAUGCCAUCAGGUAUUUGGGAAUAAAUGAGCAGAAAUAGCAAAAGUUAUUCCUGGAAGGUACUGCAUGCCAAAC